rnacentral:lncRNA from 1 species
CCAAUAUAACACAUCGGCCUUUCAGCAUUGAUCGCCAGAAGUCCCUUUUCUGACCCCUACCCCAAAACCUUGUAUCCUCCUUUUUUCUUAACCUCCCUAAUUCCUGAAUCUCUGAAUCUUCUCCUCCACUCUAACUAUUUUCGAAUGUUUUUUUCCCUCCCCUCUCAAACCCUAGCCUCUGAAUUUCUUCAAUCUUCCGUCUUGGAUUCAAAAUUGGCUUCGCCGUCAGAGCUUUCUCCUCCAUUUUUUG